rnacentral:snoRNA from 1 species
CGUGUUGAAAGGAUGAAGCUAUUACGGAUGUAAAAGAGCUAUGGCUCAUCCAUCCGAGAGCGCAUCAACCUCAUGUGGAUCCUUCCGUUGCCUUCCUUCUGAUUCAGUGU